GGGUGAGUAAUGCUUAGGAAUCUGCCUAUUAGUGGGGGACAACAUGCCGAAAGGAAUGCUAAUACCGCAUACGUCCUACGGGAGAAAGCAGGGGAUCUUCGGACCUUGCGCUAAUAGAUGAGCCUAAGUCGGAUUAGCUAGUUGGUGGGGUAAAGGCCUACCAAGGCGACGAUCUGUAGCGGGUCUGAGAGGAUGAUCCGCCACACUGGGACUGAGACACGGCCCAGACUCCUACGGGAGGCAGCAGUGGGGAAUAUUGGACAAUGGGGGGAACCCUGAUCCAGCCAUGCCGCGUGUGUGAAGAAGGCCCUAUGGUUGUAAAGCACUUUAAGCGAGGAGGAGGCUACUGAGACUAAUACUCUUGGAUAGUGGACGUUACUCGCAGAAUAAGCACCGGCUAACUCUGUGCCAGCAGCCGCGGUAAUACAGAGGGUGCGAGCGUUAAUCGGAUUUACUGGGCGUAAAGCGUGCGUAGGCGGCUUUUUAAGUCGGAUGUGAAAUCCCCGAGCUUAACUUGGGAAUUGCAUUCGAUACUGGGAAGCUAGAGUAUGGGAGAGGAUGGUAGAAUUCCAGGUGUAGCGGUGAAAUGCGUAGAGAUCUGGAGGAAUACCGAUGGCGAAGGCAGCCAUCUGGCCUAAUACUGACGCUGAGGUACGAAAGCAUGGGGAGCAAACAGGAUUAGAUACCCUGGUAGUCCAUGCCGUAAACGAUGUCUACUAGCCGUUGGGGCCUUUGAGGCUUUAGUGGCGCAGCUAACGCGAUAAGUAGACCGCCUGGGGG
rnacentral:rRNA from 1 species